GCGAGGAUGGCGGAACUGGCAGACGCACUAGACUUAGGAUCUAGCGCCUUACGGCGUGGGGGUUCGACUCCCCCUUCUCGCACCA
rnacentral:tRNA from 1 species